AUGUGCAAAAAACAGCCCGACUAAACCGUAACCUGAGUGCGUGUAUUAACACACCUCAGAUGGGGCGCAUCACAAAAGAGAGGAGGAAGGGGACACGGAUCUAGCUCUGAGUUCACCGUUUUCCAGCAACUUCACCGGCUCGGGCCUCCCACUGGGCUUGCCAGCAGCGAGGAGACGCACCCGCAGGCGAACUCACAGGCGCCGAAGAAAACAGGCUGAGUGGGGCUGGGAAAGGAGCGCAGUUGCCGAGAGGAAGGGGCCUGCCGCCUCCCCGGGGACCUCGGAACUUGGUGCGGCCACACCGCCGGCGGGACAAGACUCGAUCCCGCCCAGGAAAGGGAGCGGCUUUCUCUCCGGCCCACCCCGAGGGAAAAUAAACGGCCUCUGGCGCUUUGCUGCA